rnacentral:rRNA from 1 species
UACGGAGGGAGCUAGCGUUAUUCGGAAUUACUGGGCGUAAAGCGCACGUAGGCGGCUUUGUAAGUAAGAGGUGAAAGCCCAGAGCUCAACUCUGGAAUUGCCUUUUAGACUGCAUCACUUGAAUCAUGGAGAGGUCAGUGGAAUUCCGAGUGUAGAGGUGAAAUUCGUAGAUAUUCGGAAGAACACCAGUGGCGAAGGCGGCU